GUAAGGAAUAUUGGACAAUGGACGCAAGUCUGAUCCAGCCAUGCCGCGUGAAGGAUUAAGGUCCUCUGGAUUGUAAACUUCUUUUAUAAGGGACGAAAAAAGGCUUUUCUAAGUCGUCUGACGGUACCUUAUGAAUAAGCACCGGCUAACUCCGUGCCAGCAGCCGCGGUAAUACGGAGGGUGCAAGCGUUAUCCGGAUUCACUGGGUUUAAAGGGUGCGUAGGCGGGCAGGUAAGUCAGUGGUGAAAUCCUAGAGCUUAACUCUAGAACUGCCAUUGAUACUAUCUGUCUUGAAUAUUGUGGAGGUAAGCGGAAUAUGUCAUGUAGCGGUGAAAUGCUUAGAUAUGACAUAGAACACCUAUUGCGAAGGCAGCUUACUACGCAUAUAUUGACGCUGAGGCACGAAAGCGUGGGGAUCAAACAGGAUUAGAAACCCCAGUAGUCC
rnacentral:rRNA from 1 species